CCGUAUCUAUAUAAAUGUUUUUGAUUCUUUUAUUUUUGCUUAUGUGUUAAAAGUAUAACUCUAGAAAGCAAUAAUGAUAUCCACUUGCAAAAUAAUACCCUGGAAUGUGAUAAUCAGUUUUCUUGAAUGUACAAUGAACUUGCAAUGAAAGCAAUUUUGGCCAAUGAUUCAAUGAAAUGUAAUGAAGAGUGACAUACUGUUAUUCACAGAGUAAGAUAGAUGAUGAUUAUCCACUUGAUAACAUAGGUGAUGCCAGUUGUUACCCACUUGUUACGAUAGGUGAUGCCAACUUUACUACCACAGAGUAAACAGUGUGACAUUUCCUCGUACACUUUAGGCAGGAGAAAUUAUUGGAAAAUUCCUUGGAAAGUAUUGAAAUGGUUUUUGUACACUGCAAGUUUUAAUCUAAAAGCUAUUAAAUAUGCUAAAAAGAGUGGCAACAGAACUGCUGAGAGAAACUUCAGACCUCCUCCCACAGGGAGUGUCAUCAGAUUGUGGGGCAACAGGAAGAAAAGCUUCUUCAGAUGCCAGGACAGAAGAAGGCAAUGGGAGAGAAACCUCCAAAGAGACUAGAGGUGGAGCAGGAGGUGGUUUCUAGAGCAGCGUCAAACUGGGAUCUCUGUUCCAACCCAGAUGAUACAAGAAGGUAAAAGGAUUGCAUAAGAAAAUAACAUUGAUGAUUUCUCAAGGACAUCUAAAUGGUGCUUUAACUUUAUGAAGAGAGAAGGCUUGAGCAUGAGGACACAAAUGAAACUUGCCCCAAAGCUUCCAGCAGCCUAUGAGAAUCAAGAUUUGGAAUUUCAUUCUUAUGUUAUCAGUCUUCAAAAGACUUAAAAUUUUGAGCUGUCCCAAAUCACCAAUAUGGACAAGGUCCCACUUACAUUUGAUGUGCCAUCCAACAGAACUGUGGACAUCAAAGGAGCAAAGACCAUGGCUAUUAAAACUAGUGGUCAUGAGAAAACAUAUUUCACAUUGUUCUAGCCUGUUGUGCAGAUGGCACAAAACUGCCACUUAUGAUCAUCUCUAAAAGAAAAACAUUUCCAAAAGAAAAGAUUCCAAGUGGAGUUAUUGUCCACAUGCAUGAAAAAGGAUGGAUGGAUGAAUGAAUAAGGCAUGAAAAUCUGGUUUAACAAAGUCUGGUCACAAAAGCCUGCAGGAUUACUUAAAAAAAAACAGCUUUGCUUGUUUUUGAUCACUUCAAAGCCCAUGUUACACAAAGUGCAAAAGCAAUCUCAACAGGCUUGAAAACCCAACUUGCUAUGGUACCUGGUGGGCUAAUCAGCCAAGUGCAACCUCUUGAUGUGUCAGUAAACAAGCCAUUUAAAGCUCUAAUGAAGAAAGAGUGGAUGUUGUGGAUUUAGUCAGCUGGUAAUGAUUUAACACCUACAGGCAGGAUCAAGAAAGCAUCCAUCACACAGGUUUGUAAUUGGAUCCUAAGAUCCUGGAACGGUGUCAAGAAGGAAAUGGUUGUGAAAUCGUUUAAAAAAUGUGGCAUCAGCAAUGCUAUGGAUGGAAAUGAGGAUGGUGAAAUUUACCAGGAUGAGAAAAGUGACUCUUCAGAAGACACUGGUAAUGCAGAUAUUGAAGAAGGUGAUACUUCUGAUGUUGACAGUGAUGAAGAGUUCUUGGCCUUCUAUGAUGCAUACAUAUCAUAAAUUUGUUACCAGUACAUAAAAUGUCUUGUACCUUGUAUCUGUUCUUGUGUUUUGUAAUUAUUUGUAACAUAAAAUUUC